UACGGGGGGGGCAAGCGUUGUUCGGAAUUACUGGGCGUAAAGGGUGCGUAGGCGGUCCGCUAAGUUGGAUGUGAAAACUCUGGGCUUAACCCAGAGCCUGCAUUCAAAACUGACGGGCUAGAGUUCUGGAGGGGGUAGCGGAAUUCCUGGUGUAGCGGUGAAAUGCGUAGAUAUCAGGAGGAACACCGAUGGCGAAGGCAGCCCCCUGGGCCAACACUGACGCUCAGGCACGAAAGCGUGGGGAGCAAACAGG
rnacentral:rRNA from 1 species